AGAAUGGUAUAAUGGAAAUGGAAACAGUCUGACCUCUGACUUUUGGAAACAGAAAGGCAAGGACUUGAUCUGUAAUUCUGUCCAUUGCUAUACAUCUUGAACUAACAAAUAUAGAAUUAAAUGAUAAGACAGAAAACAGUUUGAUGACUGGAACACUUAGUGACAUCAUUUAAUAGCCUGUGGCAUCGAAGCUAUUACAGUAAUAAUUUCUCUCCAGUGAGGAAGACUACAUAAUGGCACUUGCCUGGAAGUCUUAAUUUUCCAACCCAAAACUUCAGGA
rnacentral:lncRNA from 1 species